GUGUUCACUUCAUUAGCAUAUAUACUGAAAUUGAAAUGAUACACACAGAUUAGCAUGGCCCCUGCCUGCACAAGGAUGAUAUGUAAAUUUGCAAAGUAUGUCUUU